UAGGGUUUGAUUUAGGAUUAGAAUUUGAUUAGGAUUUGAUUUAGGAUUAGGAUUUGGUUUAAGAUUUAGGAUUUGGUUAAGAAUUGAUUUAAGGUUAGUAUUUGGUUAGGAUUUGGUUUUGAUUUAAGGUUAGUAUUUGGUUAGGAUUUGGUUUAGAGUUUAGAAUUUGGUUAGGAUUCGAUUUAGGGUUAGAAUUUGGUUAGGAUUUUAUUUAGGAUAUAGGAUUUGAUUUAGAGUUGUUUAGGAUUUGAUUUAGGAUAUAGGAUUUGAUUUAGAGUUGGUUAAGAUUUGAUUUGGUUUAGGAUUUAGAAUUUGAUUAGGAUUUCAUUUACGAUUAGGAUUUGGUUAGGAUUUGGUUAAGAUUUGAUUUAGGAUUAAGAUUUGGUUAGGAUUUGGUUAAGAUUUGAUUUAGGAUUAAGAUUUAAUUAGAAUUUGGUUUAGAAUUGGUUAGAAUUUGAUUUUAGGUUUAAAGUUUGGUUUAGGAUUUGAUUUAGGAUUUAGGGUUUGAUUUAAGAUUUAAGGUUUGGUUAAGAUUUAAUCAAGAUUUGAUUUAGGAUUUAGGAUUUUAUUUGAGUUUCUUUAGGAUUUAAGAUUUAGUUUGAUUUUGGCCUAAAGUUUGAAUGAAGUCUAAUAGGAUUUCAACUAGGAUUAAAUUAAGAUUGAAUUG
rnacentral:lncRNA from 1 species